AAAUAGCACUUAAUGUUUUAUCAAAAGAGAUAAAUAUACACUUAUGCCCCAAUGGUAAAUUAAUUUAGACAUUAGGGUUUAGAGUUAAGGGGUUGAGUUUAGGAUUUAGGGUUUAGGGUUUAGGGUUUAGGGUUUAGAGUUUAGGAUUUAGAGUUUAGGGGUGGAGUUUAGGGUUUAGGGUUUAAAGUUAAGGGGUGGGGUUUAGGAUUUAGGGUUUAGGGUUUAGAAUUUAUGGUUUAGGGUUUAGAGUUGGGGAGUAGGGUUUUAGGAUAAGAUUUCAAAUUUUGAAAAAUAAAAAAAAAUUAAAUUUUUCAAAAGAUAAAAUGCUAUUUUGGUCAUUUUAGUUUUUGAAGGCUAUUUUUGUGAUAU
rnacentral:lncRNA from 1 species